UUGCACGCUGGCGGCAGGCCUAACACAUGCAAGUCGAGCGGAUGAAGGGAGCUUGCUCCUGGAUUCAGCGGCGGACGGGUGAGUAAUGCCUAGGAAUCUGCCUGGUAGUGGGGGAUAACGUCCGGAAACGGGCGCUAAUACCGCAUACGUCCUGAGGGAGAAAGUGGGGGAUCUUCGGACCUCACGCUAUCAGAUGAGCCUAGGUCGGAUUAGCUAGUUGGUGGGGUAAAGGCCUACCAAGGCGACGAUCCGUAACUGGUCUGAGAGGAUGGUCAGUCACACUGGAACUGAGACACGGUCCAGACUCCUACGGGAGGCAGCAGUGGGGAAUAUUGGACAAUGGGCGAAAGCCUGAUCCAGCCAUGCCGCGUGUGUGAAGAAGGUCUUCGGAUUGUAAAGCACUUUAAGUUGGGAGGAAGGGCAGUAAGUUAAUACCUUGCUGUUUUGACGUUACCAACAGAAUAAGCACCGGCUAACUUCGUG
rnacentral:rRNA from 1 species